UACGGAGGGGGCUAGCGUUGUUCGGAAUUACUGGGCGUAAAGCGCACGUAGGCGGCUUUGUAAGUCAGAGGUGAAAUCCCGGGGCUCAACUCCGGAACUGCCUUUGAGACUGGAUCGCUUGAAUCCAGGAGAGGUGAGUGGAAUUCCGAGUGUAGAGGUGAAAUUCGUAGAUAUUCGGAAGAACACCAGUGGCGAAGGCGGCUCACUGGACUGGUAUUGACGCUGAGGUGCGAAAGCGUGGGGAGCAAACAGG
rnacentral:rRNA from 1 species